rnacentral:rRNA from 1 species
GACGUAGGGGGCCAGCGUUGCUCGGAAUUACUGGGCGUAAAGAGCGCGUAGGCGGUCCGAUAAGUCGGCUGUGAAAGUCAGGGGCUCAACCCUUGGAAGCCGGCCGAUACUGUCGGACUAGAGUCCGGAAGAGGCGAGUGGAAUUCCCGGUGUAGCGGUGAAAUGCGCAGAUAUCGGGAGGAACACCAAUGGCGAAGGCAGCUCGCUGGGACGGUACUGACGGCUGAGGCGCGAAAGCGUGGGGAGCAAACAGG